rnacentral:rRNA from 1 species
GUCGAGAAUAAUUCACAAUGGACGAAAGUCUGAUGGUGCAACGCCGCGUGGAGGAUGACGGUCUUCGGAUUGUAAACUCCUGUCAUCCGGGAGUAAGACCUGGCUGUGAAUAGCAGACAGGGUUGAUAGUACCGGAAGAGGAAGGGACGGCUAACUUCGUGCCAGCAGCCGCGGUAAUACGAAGGUCCCGAGCGUUGUUCGGAAUCACUGGGCGUAAAGGGAGCGUAGGCGGCGUGGUAAGUCAGAUGUGAAAUCCCGGGGCUCAACCCCGGAACUGCAUCCGAUACUGCCGUGCUAGAGGAUUGGAGAGGUAGCUGGAAUUCUUGGUGUAGCAGUGAAAUGCGUGGAGAUCAAGAGGAACACUCGUGGCGAAAGCGAGCUACUGGACAAUAUCUGACGCUGAGGCUCGAAGGCCAGGGUAGCGAAAGGGAUUAGAAACCCUAGUAGUCC